rnacentral:rRNA from 1 species
UACGUAGGGGGCUAGCGUUGUCCGGAUUUAUUGGGCGUAAAGAGCGUGUAGGCGGCCAUGUAGGUCCGGUGUGAAAACUCGAGGCUUAACCUCGAGAUGUCAUCGGAAACCAUUUGGCUAGAGUCCGGAAGAGGAGAGUGGAAUUCCUGGUGUAGCGGUGAAAUGCGCAGAUAUCAGGAGGAACACCGAUGGCGAAGGCAGGUCUCUGGGCAUUACCUGACGCUGAGGAGCGAAAGUGUGGGGAGCGAACAGG